AGAGAACAUUUGAAAAUACGACCUCUUAGGGGCUCAGCAGAAGACAAGGGCCUCCACUGUUGUUUUAGGUCUGGCGCAGUCAGUCUCUGGUGGCAACAGGACUCUCAAAACAUUCAGCCAAAGGCAUCUUUUAUUUCCGUUGGAGUUGCAGCAGUGGGUGUGAUUACCACACACUUGAUUUGGUAUUUGCCACCUCGAAGAGCUUUAACCAGCCUUUGUUCCUCAGGACACUUCUUCCUUCUUCUGUUUUAUCUCCUUGAGAGUGACAUAUUACUUCUGCUGCAUUUCAAAGGUCAGAGCAGCUCACAUGGUAUCAACUUGGGGGAAAGACAGUAUAAUCUUCCUGAAACAGGAGAGUUCCCUGAUUCCCCUUGCAGGACUUGUGACAGGGGUGUGGCUCACCUGUUUGGUCACCCUGCAGUUCAAACCCCUAGGGGUAGUGUGCAGAUGGGCAGGUGCAGAGGCUGGGGUGAGUGCUUUGGGCUCUCAGCCCUGCAGUAGUGUCUAGGGGUGGGUGCCUGCAACCCCAGUGUUACCAAGCUCUUCCAGCUUUGUGGUCUGCAGAUGGCUUGUGUGUUAGUCAGUUCAAUAGACCCUCUGCCUUAUCACAAGGGCAGAGGUCCAGUGUGACAGCCUUCUGCAUCCCAAGCUCUUGUCCAGCGUCCUGAAAGAAUCGGGUCAUAUGCAGGCUCAAAGAAAGAGUGCAAGGUUUUAUUGGUGGUGGAGUGGGCUCUCAGCAAGAUGGAUGGGGAGCCAGAAGGGAGGAUGGAGUGGGAAGGUGGUCUUCCUCUGCUGUGUUGUUCUACCAUCAAUGGUCUGCUGGUCUUGACAUUCAGCCACUUGUG
rnacentral:lncRNA from 1 species